rnacentral:rRNA from 1 species
AGUGAACGCUGGCGGUAGGCCUAACACAUGCAAGUCGAACGGCAGCACAGUAAGAGCUUGCUCUUACGGGUGGCGAGUGGCGGACGGGUGAGGAAUACAUCGGAAUCUACUUUUUCGUGGGGGAUAACGUAGGGAAACUUACGCUAAUACCGCAUACGACCUACGGGUGAAAGCAGGGGAUCUUCGGACCUUGCGCGAUUGAAUGAGCCGAUGUCGGAUUAGCUAGUUGGCGGGGUAAAGGCCCACCAAGGCGACGAUCCGUAGCUGGUCUGAGAGGAUGAUCGGCCAAACUGGAACUGAGACACGGUCCAGACUCCUACGGAAGGCAGCAGUGGGGAAUAUUGAACAAUGGGGGCAAGCCUGAUCCAGCCAUCCCGCGUGGGUGAAGAAGGCCUUCGGGUUGUAAAGCCCUUUUGUGGGGAAAGAAAGCAGCAGGUUAAUACCCCGCUGUUCUGACGGUACCCAAAGAAUAAGCACCGGCUAACUUCGUG